rnacentral:rRNA from 1 species
UUCUCCGAGCCAUUGCUAUUGGAGUCCGAUUUAGCCAUGCUAGUCGUACGGGCUCAGACCCGUGGCGAAUAGCUCCGUAACACGUGGCCAAUCUACCCUGGAGACGGUAAUACCCUCGGGAAACUGAGACUAAUGACCGAUACGGCACUCUCGCUGGAAUGCAGAGUGCCUCAAACGCUCCGGCGCUUCAGGAUGAGGCUGCGGCCGAUUAGGUAGACGGUGGGGUAACGGCCCACCGUGCCCAUAAUCGGUACGGGUUGUGAGAGCAAGAACCCGGAGACGGAAUCUGAGACAAGAUUCCGGGCCCUACGGGGCGCAGCAGGCGCGAAACCUUUACACUGCACGACAGUGCGAUAGGGGGACACCGAGUGCGAGGGCAUAGAGCCCUCGCUUUUGUAGACCGUAAGGAGGUCUACGAAUAAGGGCUGGGCAAGACCGGUGCCAGCCGCCGCGGUAACACCGGCAGCCCAAGUGAUGGCCGAUAUUAUUGGGCCUAAAGCGUCCGUAGCUGGCCGCGCAAGUUCGUCGGGAAAUCCACUCGCUUAACGAGUGGGCGUCCGGCGAAAACUGUGCGGCUUGGGACCGGAAGAUCCAAGGGGUACGUCCGGGGUAGGAGUGAAAUCCCGUAAUCCUGGACGGACCACCGAUGGCGAAAGCACCUUGGAAGGACGGAUCCGACAGUGAGGGACGAAAGCUAGGGUCUCGAACCGGAUUAGAUACCCGGGGUAGUCCUAGCCGUAAACGAUGCUCGCUAGGUGUGGCGCCAAGGCUACGAAGCCUGCGCUGUGCCCGUAAGGGAAGCCCGUGAAAGCGAGCCGCCCUGGGAAAGUACGUUCUGCAAAGGAUGAAAACUUAAAAGGAAUUGGCGGGGGAGCACUACAACCCGGAGGAACCUGCGGUUUAAUU